rnacentral:rRNA from 1 species
GACGAACGCUGGCGGCGUGCCUAAUACAUGCAAGUAGAACGCUGAAGCUUGGUGCUUGCACCGAGCGGGUGAGUUGCGAACGGGUGAGUAACGCGUAGGUAACCUGCCUGGUAGCGGGGGAUAACUAUUGGAAACGAUAGCUAAUACCGCAUAACAGUAGAUAUCGCAUGAUAUGUGCUUGAAAGGUGCAAUUGCAUCACUACCAGAUGGACCUGCGUUGUAUUAGCUAGUUGGUGAGGUAACGGCUCACCAAGGCAACGAUACAUAGCCGACCUGAGAGGGUGAUCGGCCACACUGGGACUGAGACACGGCCCAGACUCCUACGGGAGGCAGCAGUAGGGAAUCUUCGGCAAUGGACGGAAGUCUGACCGAGCAACGCCGCGUGAGUGAAGAAGGUUUUCGGAUCGUAAAGCUCUGUUGUAAGAGAAGAACGAGUGUGAGAGUGGAAAGUUCACAUUGUGACGGUAUCUUACCAGAAAGGGACGGCUAACUACGUGC